rnacentral:rRNA from 1 species
GACGAACGCUGGCGGCGUGCUUAAUACAUGCAAGUCGAACGGACAGGCCCUGCUUUUGUGGGGUGCUCGAGUGGCGAACGGGUGAGUAACACGUGAGUAACCUGCCCUUGACUUUGGGAUAACUUCAGGAAACUGGGGCUAUUACCGGAUAGGAGCUCUUGCUGCACGGUGGGGGUUGGAAAGUUUCGGUGGUUGGGGCUGGACGCGAGGGUUAUCAGCUUGUUGGUGGGGUAGUGGCUUACCAAGGGUUUGACGGGUAGCCGGCCUGAGAGGGUGGCCGGCCACAUUGGGACUGAGAUACGGCCCAGACGCCUACCGGAGGCAGCGGUGGGGAGUAUUGCGCAGUGAUCGGGCGCCUGAGGCAACGACGCCGCGUGCGGGAUGACGGCUUUCGGGUUGUGAACAACUUUCGCCUGAGACGAGGCGUGAGUGACGGUAAUGAGUAAAGAAGCACCGGCUAACUACGUG